rnacentral:rRNA from 1 species
UGAUCCUACGGGGGGCAGCAGUGGGGAAUAUUGCGCAAUGGGCGAAAGCCUGACGCAGCGACGCCGCGUGAGGGAUGAAGGUCUUCGGAUCGUAAACCUCUGUCAGCAGGGAAGAACGGUCACUGUGCUAAUCAGCAGUGAAUUGACGGUACCUGCAAAGGAAGCACCGGCUAACUCCGUGCCAGCAGCCGCGGUAAUACGUAGGUGGCAAGCGUUGUCCGGAUUUACUGGGUGUAAAGGGCGUGUAGCCGGGUUGACAAGUCAGAUGUGAAAUCCUGCGGCUUAACCGCAGAACUGCAUUUGAA